rnacentral:rRNA from 1 species
CCUACGGGUGGCAGCAGUGAGGAAUAUUGGUCAAUGGACGAGAGUCUGAACCAGCCAAGUAGCGUGAAGGAUGACUGCCCUAUGGGUUGUAAACUUCUUUUAUAAAGGAAUAAAACGAGGCACGUGUGCCUUUUUGCGUGUACUUUAUGAAUAAGGAUCGGCUAACUCCGUGCCAGCAGCCGCGGUAAUAUGGAGGAUCCGAGCGUUAUCCGGAUUUAUUGGGUUUAAAGGGUGCGUAGAUGGGUUGUUAAGUCAGUUGUGAAAUUUUGGGGCUUAACCGUAAAAUUGCCAUUGAUACUGGCAGUCUUGAGUACAGUUGAGGUAGGCGGAAUGCGUGGUGUAGCGGUGAAAUGCUUAGAUAUCACGCAGAACCCCGAUUGCGAAGGCAGCUUACUAAACUGUGACUGACAUUGAUGCUCGAAAGUGUGGGUAUCAAACAGGAUUAGAUACCCCAGUAGUC